rnacentral:rRNA from 1 species
GACGAACGCUGGCGGCGUGCUUAACACAUGCAAGUCGAACGGAAAGGCCCUGCUUUUGUGGGGUGCUCGAGUGGCGAACGGGUGAGUAACACGUGAGUAACCUGCCCUUGACUUUGGGAUAACUUCAGGAAACUGGGGCUAAUACCGGAUAGGAGCUGCUGCUGCAUGGUGGGGGUUGGAAAGUUUCGGCGGGUGGGGAUGGACUCGCGGCUUAUCAGCUUGUUGGUGGGGGAGUGGCUUACCAAGGCUUUGACGGGUAGCCGGCCUGAGAGGGUGACCGGCCACAUUGGGACUGAGAUACGGCCCAGACUCCUACGGGAGGCAGCAGUGGGGAAUAUUGCACAAUGGGCGGAAGCCUGAUGAAGCAACGCCGCGUGCGGGAUGACGGCCUUCGGGUUGUAAACCGCUUUCGCCUGUGACGAAGCGUGAGUGACGGUAAUGGGUAAAGAAGCACCGGCUAACUACGUG